rnacentral:rRNA from 1 species
AUGGAAAGGGAGAAGAUGGAGAGGGGCAAGUCUGAGCUGAGGAUGGCUAUCGAGGACCUCUCCUUGCCCAGCUCAGGAGAUGGUGAAGAUCAGGAGCAGCAGGGAAAAAUUAGGAGGUCAUCCACCAUGGAUCUCCUCUGUGUCUCCAACCAGCUUCUACGUGUCCUUGAUGCGAUUGGGCCAACGCUUCUAGUCCUCAGGCAAGACAUUCAGCAAAAUGUUCAGAGAUUACAGGAUCUCCAUGCAAGAGACACCUCGAAAUACGCGGGCUUGAUGGAGAUCGUGAUGGAAGAAAUGGAGGAAGGGACCUCAAAGAAGACCAACAGUUGUACAAGGGCAAUUAUCUGGCUGGCUAGGUCGGUGAAUUUCUCGAUAUGUUUGCUGGAGAGAUUAGUGAAGAACCCAGAGUCAAGCCUGCAAGAGAUGGUGGAAGAAACAUACGAGAGCACCCUGAAGCCAUUCCAUGGAUGGAUCUCAUCAGCUGCUUACAGGGUAGCAUUGCGACUCAUUCCAGAGAGAGACAUCUUCAUUGAGUUGCUGAUGGGGAACUGCCAGGAUACCGGGGAUUUUGGGGAAGAUGUCAUGAUCUUGGUCUCCAUUGUACAGCCUCUGCUAGAGGAGAUCAAUGUCAUCUACAGAUGUCUGCGUUGUAUUUGUUGUUGUACCUGUAGUUUAAUAGCCGGGUGGAUGUAUUGUGUCAGAGGACUUAAAAUAACUGAAGCACAAUGCAUCUCUUGCUUUUCCUUUGGACGUUGA